rnacentral:rRNA from 1 species
UACGUAGGUGGCAAGCGUUGUUCGGAAUUAUUGGGCGUAAAGAGCUCGUAGGCGGUUUGUUGCGUCGGCUGUGAAAUCCCGAGGCUCAACCUCGGGUCUGCAGUCGAUACGAGCAAACUAGAGUGUUGCAGGGGAGACUGGAAUUCCUGGUGUAGCGGUGGAAUGCGCAGAUAUCAGGAGGAACACCGGUGGCGAAGGCGGGUCUCUGGGCAGUAACUGACGCUGGAGGAGCGAAAGCGUGGGGAGCGAACAGG